rnacentral:misc_RNA from 1 species
AACGCACAUUGCGCCCCGUGGUAUUCCGCGGGGCAUGCCUGUUCGAGCGUCAGUACAACACUCAAGCUCUGCUUGGUCUUGGGCCGCAUCAGUUCUGAUCGGUCUUAAAAUCAGUGGCGGUGCCAUCGUGCUCUAAGCGUAGUAAUACUCCUCGCUACAGGGUCUCGGUGCGUGCUUGCCAGCAACCCCCAACUUUCUAAGUUUGACCUCGGAUCAGGUAGGGAUACCCGCUGAACUUAA